CCUUGACUGCAAUUUUGCAGACAAUAGCCAAGACAAGGAGAUUUACAUG
rnacentral:ncRNA from 1 species